GAUGAACGCUGGCGGCGUGCCUAAUACAUGCAAGUCGAGCGAACAGACGAGGAGCUUGCUCCUCUGACGUUAGCGGCGGACGGGUGAGUAACACGUGGAUAACCUACCUAUAAGACUGGGAUAACUUCGGGAAACCGGAGCUAAUACCGGAUAAUAUAUUGAACCGCAUGGUUCAAUAGUGAAAGACGGUUUUGCUGUCACUUAUAGAUGGAUCCGCGCCGCAUUAGCUAGUUGGUAAGGUAACGGCUUACCAAGGCAACGAUGCGUAGCCGACCUGAGAGGGUGAUCGGCCACACUGGAACUGAGCCACGGUCCAGACUCCUACGGGAGGCAGCAGUAGGGAAUCUUCCGCAAUGGGCGAAAGCUUGACGGAGCAACGCGGCGUGAGUGAUGAAGGUCUUCGGAUCGUAAAACUCUGUUAUUAGGGAAGAACAAAUGUGUAAGUAACUAUGCACGUCUUGACGGUACCUAAUCAGAAAGCCACGGCUAACUACGUG
rnacentral:rRNA from 1 species